rnacentral:sRNA from 1 species
GUCGUGAGAUGUUGGGUUAAGUCCCGCAACGAGCGCAACCCUUGUCCCUAGUUGCUACGCAAGGGCACUCUAGGGAGACUGCCGGUGACAAACCGGAGGAAGGUGGGGAUGACGUCAAGUCCUCAUGGCCCUUAUGGGUAGGGCUUCACACGUCAUACAAUGGCCGGUACAGAGGGUUGCCAACCCGCGAGGGGGAGCCAAUCCCAGAAAGCCGGUCGUAGUCCGGAUUGCAGUCUGCAACUCGACUGCAUGAAGUCGGAAUCGCUAGUAAUCGCGGAUCAGCAUGUCGCGGUGAAUACGUUCCCGGGUCUUGUACACACCGCCCGUCACACCAUGGGAGCGGGAUGUACCAGAAGUAGGUAGGCUAACUCGCAAGAGGGGCCGCUUACCACGGUGCGUUUCGUGACUGGGGUGAAGUCGUAACAAGGUAGCCGUAUCGGAAGGUGCGGCUGGAUCACCUCCUUUCUCGGAAACAGGUGACAGGAAUCAGAGGACAGAGGUCAGCAAUGGCCACUGCCGACCGAUCCCUGCUCAUCCAUAUCCCAAGCCGCGAGUACCCACAACCUAUCGGUUGCACGCAACACUGUGCAACGUUAUCCGAAACCGGGCCUGUAGCUCAGUUGGUUAGAGCACCGUCUUGAUAAGGCGGGGGUCGAUGGUUCGAAUCCAUCCAGACCCACCAGCAUCGCACCGGGGCUGUAGCUCAAUUGGGAGAGCGCCUGCUUUGCAAGCAGGAGGUCGUCGGUUCGAUCCCGUCCAGCUCCACCAGCAUCAGGGAUCAGAGGUCAGGGAUCAGGAAUCAGAAGAUUCCAACAGCUAUCGGUUGCGGUGGCACGCAGCGUUCACGUCUCGCUGUUCGACGAGUAGCGAGAGUUGAGAGCUGCAGUGUUCUUUAACAAUUCGGAAGGUAAGGGUUCAUGCGACUGAUGAGAGUCGCGUGAGCAAUAGGGUUGAGUUGUAUCUUCAAAAAGCCGGACGCCUUUUAAAAGGGGGGUGGCCGGUGGCGCGAACACAGCGUAACGGUGGGUCGGAAGCAGGCAACUGCGGAGGGUUCACAGUUAUGGGGUCAAGCGACUAAGUGCAUGUGGUGGAUGCCUUGGCGAUUACAGGCGAUGAAGGACGUGGCAGCCUGCGAAAAGCUCCGGGGAGCUGGCAAACGAGCAUUGAUCCGGAGAUGU